UACGUAGGGUGCGAGCGUUAAUCGGAAUUACUGGGCGUAAAGCGUGCGCAGGCGGUUUGUUAAGACAGAUGUGAAAUCCCCGGGCUUAACCUGGGAACUGCAUUUGUGACUGGCAAGCUAGAGUAUGGCAGAGGGGGGUAGAAUUCCACGUGUAGCAGUGAAAUGCGUAGAUAUGCGGAGGAACACCGAUGGCGAAGGCAAUCCCCUGGGCCUGUACUGACGCUCAUGCACGAAAGCGUGGGGAGCAAACAGG
rnacentral:rRNA from 1 species